rnacentral:rRNA from 1 species
GCAUAUCAAUAAGCGGAGGAAAAGAAACUAACAAGGAUUCCCUUAGUAACGGCGAGUGAAGAGGGAAGAGCUCAAAUUUUAAAUCUAUCAUGUUUGUACAUGAUCGAAUUGUAAUUUGAAGAAGCGUUUUCUCGUACUUUAUGCAAUCAGUAUAAGUUCUCUUGGAACAGGACAUCAUAGAGGGUGAUAAUCCCGUCUGUUACUGGUUGUGAGGUUCGUUAUGAUACGCUUUCAAAGAGUCGAGUUGUUUGGGAUUGCAGCUCCAAAUGGGUGGUAAACAUCACCUAAGGCUAAAUAUUUGCGAGAGACCGAUAGCGAACAAGUACCGUGAGGGAAAGAUGAAAAGAACUUUGAAAAGAGAGUUAAAAAGUAUGUGAAAUUGUUGAAAGGGAAACGAUUGAAGUCAGUCGUGCAGUCAUCAAUUCAGCGGUUAACAUUUUUAUGUUUCCGUGUAAUUUGGUGUCUGUUGGUUAGCAUCAAUUUUGAUUGUUAUAAAAAGGUUAAGGGGAUGUGGCUCCUUCGGGAGUGUUAUAACCCUUAGCGUAAUGUGACGAUUAGGAUUGAGGUUUGCAACGAAUACCUUUUAGGGCAGUUUCCCUGGCCUCUCGUGGAAUUAUAGAUAGUUAAGAGCAUGCUUCUUACUGUCUAUGAUUCUACGAAAAGGUUAGUGUAAAACUAAUUCGUUAAGGAUGUUGACGUA